rnacentral:sRNA from 1 species
AAAUCUAAAUUAGAUCCGAUUUUACAAAUAUCAAUCUAACCGUUGUAGUAAAUGUAAUUACUGAUAAUUAAUUUAAGGACAGCAACAAAAAAGAAAGGGAAUGUGACAUUAUUAGGCAUUUUGUGAGAAUCUUUUUACGUUUGAGGCACUUAUGAGGGAGAAGACACUUUGCCAUCUUUUUGAGAGGAGAUUGGACUAAUUUGCCCCUGAAGUGGUGAAAACACAAUAAUUUUUAAACUUAUUUUUAAUAAGAUCGUGUGGGUGAGAAACUUUUUUUUUAUAUCAUCUAUCCCUUCCAUAUUCUUUUGUUUUCAUCAUUUUCAAUCCCUCUUUCAAAUCAUAGUCGUUCUCAAUAAUUUUUACAAAAUUAUGAAAAUUCUGAGGUUAUCUCAAAAUUCACAAUCACAAUCUAUGUUUACCCUAAAUUUCCUUUAUUUUUUCAGUUUUGUAUUUUUUUUUCUCCAUUCUCCGUCAUCAAAUCCAUUUCAUUAUCUGCAGCCUCCAUCAAUGAACGACUGUGACCAACAAAAAAAAGUAACAUCAUCGAUUUCUCCUUUUCGAGAUGAAGAAGAAGGAGAUCCUUACUCUCUGCUACAAAGCUCCCUCUUCCCUUAAUCUCCCUCUUUUUCUGGUUCCAUGUUCUUCUCUCUUGUCUUACUUAUGGUUUCUGGUUUCGUUGUUUUUUUUUGGGUAAAAGGUUUCUUUGGUUUUGAAUCAUAAAGGCCAAUGUUACAUGUUAUUCGUUGAUUCUAGAUUAGGCUUUAGAUUGUAAA